rnacentral:rRNA from 1 species
GCUAAGAAUAUUCCGCAAUGGACGAAAGUCUGACGGAGCGACGCCGCGUGGAUGAGGAAGGCCGAAAGGUUGUAAAGUCCUUUUGUCGAUGAAGAAUAAGUGGUGGAGGGAAUGCCAUCAUGAUGACGUUAGUCGGCGAAUAAGCCCCGGCUAAUUACGUGCCAGCAGCCGCGGUAACACGUAAGGGGCAAGCGUUGUUCGGAAUUAUUGGGCGUAAAGGGUACGUAGGCGGUUAUGUAAGCCCGGCGUGAAAUCCUGCAGCUUAACUGUAGAGCUGCGCUGGGAACUGCGUAACUUGAGUCAUGGAAGGGAAGUUAGAAUUCCAGGUGUAGGGGUGAAAUCUGUAGAUAUCCGGAGGAACACCGGUGGCGAAGGCGACUUGCUGGGCAGCAACUGACGCUGAGGCGCGAAAGCCAGGGGAGCAAACGGGAUUAGAAACCCUAGUAGUCC